rnacentral:lncRNA from 1 species
GUGGGGUUUUUUUUAAAUCACUUUUUUUAACUGAUAGGUACAUGAAACCCAACCUGCUGCAACACUAGAGGCGCUAUUUCUCAACACACCAGAACCCACCCCAGGGGAGCUUCAGGAGCCUGAGAACCAGCUUGAAGAAAGCAAUGUGAAAAGCACUGGAUUUCACAAAAGCCCAGGCUGCAGUGAUAGUGAGAAGCAGGAACGCAGCAGGAAAGCUCCCCACUGACGGUCUGCGCGGGUCCGUAGCAAGCACACAGCUGCCGUCUGUGACUUCUGUCCUCGACACCUGGAAUGAACGGGCAGCCCUCCCUUCUCUCGCGUCUCCUGCAACCAUUGACGAUGCAUCUCCCUAAGCAAAGGAACAUCACGAACAGACCUACGCGGACAGCUGUAAGAACUUCUGUUUGCAACAACUCCUGC